CCCAAAGUCAUGGUUAAGUGGGAAACGAUGUGGGAAGGCACAGACAGCCAGGAUGUUGGCUUAGAAGCAGCCAUCAUUUAAAGAAAGCGUAAUAGCUCACUGGUCGAGUCGGCCUGCGCGGAAGAUGUAACGGGGCUAAACCAUGCACCGAAGCUGCGGCAGCGACACUAUGUGUUGUUGGGUAGGGGAGCGUUCUGUAAGCCUGCGAAGGUGUGCUGUGAGGCAUGCUGGAGGUAUCAGAAGUGCGAAUGCUGACAUAAGUAACGAUAAAGCGGGUGAAAAGCCCGCUCGCCGGAAGACCAAGGGUUCCUGUCCAACGUUAAUCGGGGCAGGGUGAGUCGACCCCUAAGGCGAGGCCGAAAGGCGUAGUCGAUGGGAAACAGGUUAAUAUUCCUGUACUUGGUGUUACUGCGAAGGGGGGACGGAGAAGGCUAUGUUAGCCGGGCGACGGUUGUC
rnacentral:rRNA from 1 species